rnacentral:tRNA from 1 species
CCGUGGUGCUGCCUUUCGCUUCAAAACCGACGGCGUCUAUUACUGCAUCCACGCCCCGGUGACCUGCCGUUUGUU